AGUUGAUUCUGGCUCAGGAUGAACGCUGGCGGCGUGCCUAAUACAUGCAAGUCGAACGAGGGUGCUUGCACCCUAGUGGCGAACGGGUGAGUAACACGUAGGUAACCUGCCCUAAGCUGGAUACCAGAGGAACUUUGGCUAAUACCGGAUAACAACAGAAGAGGCAUCUCUUCAGUUUGAAAGGCCCUUUAUGGGGUCACUUAAGGAUGGACCUGCGGCGCAUUAGCUAGUUGGUGAGAUAACAGCCCACCAAGGCGAGGAUGCGUAGCCGACCUGAGAGGGUGAUCGGCCACAUUGGAACUGAGACACGGUCCAAACUCCUACGGGAGGCAGCAGUAAGGAGUUUUCGGCAAUGGGGGAAACCCUGACCGAGCAACGCCGCGUGAGUGAAUGACGGCCCUAUGGGUUGUAAAGCUCUGUUGUAAGGGACGAAUGAUUCGCUUAGGAAAUGAAGCGGGUUUGACGGUACCUUACCAGAAAGCCACGGCUAACUACGUGCCAGCCGCAGC
rnacentral:rRNA from 1 species